GGAAUUACUUGGCAAAGUCCUGGUACCUGGGCUAGCUUGGUUCCUUUCCAAGUGUCAAAUAGGACACCCAUCUUACCGGCCAAUGUCCAAAAUUACGGUUUGAACAUAAUUGGAGAACCUUUCCUUCAAGCAGAAACAAGCAACUGAGGGAAAAAGAAACACAACAAUAGUUUAAGAAAUUUUUUUUUUAAAUAAAAAAAAAGGAAAAGAGGAAGACUGGACAAAACAACACAAAGGCAGAAAGGAAAGAAACUGAAGAAAGAAGAUAAUAGACCAGCAAUUGCAGCACUUACAAUCACUAAUUCCCUUAAGGUUGAAACUGUAAUGACAUAAAAAGGGUCGAUGAUAUUUCACUGAUGGUAGAUCGCAGCCCCUGCAACGUAGCCUUUGUUACAUGAAGUCCGCUGGGAAAUAGAUGUUCUGUCUCUAUGACAAUAUAUUUUAACUGACUUUCUAGAUGCCUUAAUAUUUGCAUGAUAAGCUAGUUUUAUUGGUUUAGUAUUCUUGUUGUUUACGCAUGGAAUCACUAUUCCUGGUUAUCUCACCAACGAAGGCUAGGAGGCGGCGUCAGAGGUGCUGGGUGACAGAGCCAUGAGCCAGCCAUUUUAUAAGCACUCUGAUUUCUAAAAGUUAAAAAAAAUAUAUGAAAUCUCUGUAGCCUUUAGUUAUCAGUACAGAUUUAUUAAAUUUCGGCCCUUAACCCAGCCUUUUCCAGUGUGUAACCCAGUUUGAAAUCUU
rnacentral:lncRNA from 10 species